rnacentral:rRNA from 1 species
AGCGAACGCUGGCGGCAGGCCUAACACAUGCAAGUCGAACGAACUCUUCGGAGUUAGUGGCGGACGGGUGAGUAACACGUGGGAACGUGCCUUUUGGUUCGGAAUAGCUCAGGGAAACUUGUGCUAAUACCGAAUGUGCCCUUCGGGGGAAAGAUUUAUCGCCUUUAGAGCGGCCCGCGUCUGAUUAGCCAGUUGGUGGGGUAAUGCCCCACCAAGGCUACGAUCAGUAGCUGGUCUGAGAGGAUGACCCGCCACAUUGGGACUGAGACACGGCCCAAACUCCUACGGGAGGCAGCAGUGGGGAAUCUUGCGCAAUGGGCGAAAGCCUGACGCAGCCAUGCCGCGUGGAUGAUGAAGGUCUUAGGAUUGUAAAAUCCUUUCACCGGUGAAGAUAAUGACUGUAGCCGGAGAAGAAGCCCCGGCUAACUUCGUGCCAGCCGCCGCAGUAACAC